rnacentral:lncRNA from 13 species
GUAUAUUACUGUCUCCAGUUAUACUGAAAUGAACCCUCUAGCACAGAGACUGAGAUACCAAGGUAUUAGGUAUUACUGUCUACCGUUAUACUGAAAUGAACCCUCUAGCACAGAGACUGAGAUACCAAGGUAUUAGGUAUUACUGUCUACCGUUAUACUGAAAUGAACCCUCUAGCACAGAGACUGAGAUACCAAGGUAUAUUACUGUCUACCGUUAUACUGAAAUGAACCCUCUAGCACAGAGACUGGGACACCAAGGUAUAUUACUGUCUACAGUUAUACUGAAAUGAACCCUCUAGCACAGAGACUGAGAUACCAAGGUAUUAAAUAUUACUGUCUACCAUUAUACUGAAAUGAACCCUCUAGCACAGAGACUGAGAUACCAAGGUAUUAAAUAUCCAAACUAACUCUUUUCCUGUUAGAUUAUUCUUCUGAUUGCUCAGCAGGAAAGACCGUUCCCACACCGCUUCC